rnacentral:lncRNA from 1 species
CCAACGAUUACAUGCAGCCAGAAGAGGACUGGGACCGGGACCUGCUCCUGGACCCGGCCUGGGAGAAGCAGCAGAGAAAGAGCUGACCUCUCACCUUUCUGCGAGAGACGGCCAGGCCAUCUGGACAGGUCACAGACCAGAUUCUCAAGUCCACACCUCUCUACAGAUAUUGUUGGGAUCAUCCCAGCCAGUUAACCCCACCUGAGCUGCCUCCAUGUGUAACCCACCUGUGGUUUUCCUGGACUUGGUAUGGAGCCAAAGGGUACCUUCCCCACUGGCCCUGCUUUUAUGCCCUCUUUAGAGUGCAUAGAGAGAUGUUGGUAGGCCCAUGUCUCUGCUAGAGGGGCCUGUGGGUUGGGCUGAGUUACUCGCCAUGGACAGUGGUGGGGUCCUGGAACCCACCAGCUGAGAUGGUUUGGGCGGUUCUAGUCUGCACCUCCCCAGAGAGGUCAUGGCAGAGAGGCCAGGCACAGAGGAAACCCGCUGAGCCUGCUUCCUUAGUUCUGGCAGAUGGGUCAGCCCCCACAGGACUCAGGAUUCAAUUUAGCCCGGGGUUCUGGCUCC